rnacentral:rRNA from 1 species
CCUACGGGAGGCAGCAGUGAGGAAUAUUGGUCAAUGGGCGGGAGCCUGAACCAGCCAAGUCGCGUGAGGGAAGACGGUCCUAUGGAUUGUAAACCUCUUUAGGCGGGGGGCAAUGCCGGGCACGCGUGCCUGGAGGGAGAGUACCCGCAGAAUAAGCAUCGCCUAACGCCGUGCCAGCAGCCGCGGUAAUCCGGAGGUUGAGAGCGUUAUCCGGUUUUAUUGGGUUAAAGGGGUGCGUAGGCGGAGUUUUAAGUCAGCGGUAAAAUGUCCGGGCUCAAUCCGGGCCGGCCGUUGAAACUGGGGAUCUUGAGUGUGCGAGCAGUAUGCGGAAUGCGUGGUGUAGCGGUGAAAUGCAUAGAGAUCACACAGAACUCCGAUUGCGAAGGCAGCAUACCGGCGUCCGACUGACGCUGAGGCACGAAAGCGUGGGGAUCGAACAGGAUUAGAUACCCUUGUAGUC